rnacentral:lncRNA from 1 species
UUGCCCUGGCCAAGGUCUUACUAAAUUGAAACACAAAGCAUUCUCUCCAAUCUCUUGGAGUGGUCAAUUCCAUCUUGACUCAUGCACCGACUUCACAAGUACUUGACUGUGUGCAGAAAUCUUUCGAUCUUGAAUUAGAAAUUCAUGUAGUCCGGUACCAAAGCACAGUGAGUUGCUUGUAAGUCAUCAUGGUGAUCUC